AAAUUGAAGAGUUUGAUCAUGGCUCAGAUUGAACGCUGGCGGCAGGCCUAACACAUGCAAGUCGAACGGUAACAGGAAACAGCUUGCUGUUUCGCUGACGAGUGGCGGACGGGUGAGUAAUGUCUGGGAAACUGCCUGAUGGAGGGGGAUAACUACUGGAAACGGUAGCUAAUACCGCAUAACGUCGCAAGACCAAAGAGGGGGACCUUCGGGCCUCUUGCCAUCGGAUGUGCCCAGAUGGGAUUAGCUAGUAGGUGGGGUAACGGCUCACCUAGGCGACGAUCCCUAGCUGGUCUGAGAGGAUGACCAGCCACACUGGAACUGAGACACGGUCCAGACUCCUACGGGAGGCAGCAGUGGGGAAUAUUGCACAAUGGGCGCAAGCCUGAUGCAGCCAUGCCGCGUGUAUGAAGAAGGCCUUCGGGUUGUAAAGUACUUUCAGCGGGGAGGAAGGGAGUAAAGUUAAUACCUUUACUCAUUGACGUUACCCGCAGAAGAAGCACCGGCUAACUCCGUGCCAGCAGCCGCGGUAAUACGGAGGGUGCAAGCGUUAAUCGGAAUUACUGGGCGUAAAGCGCACGCAGGCGGUUUGUUAAGUCAGAUGUGAAAUCCC
rnacentral:rRNA from 1 species